rnacentral:rRNA from 1 species
AGCGAACGCUGGCGGCAGGCCUAACACAUGCAAGUCGAACGAACUCUUCGGAGUUAGUGGCGGACGGGUGAGUAACACGUGGGAACGUGCCUUUUGGUUCGGAAUAACUCAGGGAAACUUGUGCUAAUACCGAAUGUGCCCUUCGGGGGAAAGAUUUAUCGCCAUUAGAGGGGCCGGCGUCUGAUUAGCUAGUUGGUGAGGUAACGGCUCACCAAGGCGACGAUCAGUAGCUGGUCUGAGAGGAUGACCAGCCACACUGGGACUGAGACACGGCCCAGACUCCUACGGGAGGCAGCAGUGGGGAAUCUUGCGCAAUGGGCGAAAGCCUGACGCAGCCAUGCCGCGUGAAUGAUGAAGGUCUUAGGAUUGUAAAAUUCUUUCACCGGGGACGAUAAUGACGGUACCCGGAGAAGAAGCCCCGGCUAACUUCGUG